AUGCAAAUAACAGGAACAGUAGAUGUGGCCAUUCUGUAAUGAGUACAAGACAGUCAGCCUGGUUUGGAGUAGAGGAGAAUGAGUGAGUUAUCAGCUGUACCCAGCUGUGGUUCUGGUGCUAGCUAAUAACCCCCAUGUAUCAUCCUGCCUUGGCUUUCAUUUGUUUUCUCCUAAAUGGAAACUUGAAGGACACUUCUAAACAGAGACGCCUGGGAACUAUCCUGGAAUCCACAUACAACAGACUGAGAAGAGAUCACAUUACUUGGGUCACUGUAGAAGUUUGUGGCUCCCUGCUGGUUUAUUUAUUUUGCCAAGUUCUAAAUUCAUAUGCAAAAAAACUCACGAGCAAGGCUUUCUCUGAAGGAUCUAAUAAAAAGUACAUACAUAAAGAGCAAAACCGACUGACUUUGCAGUGUGUUAAGUGACAGAGGAGCAUACAUGUUGAACUUUCCCAUGGAAGAAAGUGCAAAGUGAAAGAUAGAAAACAGCCAAAAGAUCUGCAACAGAUUUACAAUCUGAGU